AAUGGGUCAGCGACUUAUAUUCUGUAGCAAGGUUAACCGAAUAGGGGAGCCGAAGGGAAACCGAGUCUUAACCGGGCGUUAAGUUGCAGGGUAUAGACCCGAAACCCGGUGAUCUAGCCAUGGGCAGGUUGAAGGUUGGGUAACACUAACUGGAGGACCGAACCGACUAAUGUUGAAAAAUUAGCGGAUGACUUGUGGCUGGGGGUGAAAGGCCAAUCAAACCGGGAGAUAGCUGGUUCUCCCCGAAAGCUAUUUAGGUAGCGCCUCGUGAAUUCAUCUCCGGGGGUAGAGCACUGUUUCGGCAAGGGGGUCAUCCCGACUUACCAACCCGAUGCAAACUGCGAAUACCGGAGAAUGUUAUCACGGGAGACACACGGCGGGUGCUAACGUCCGUCGUGAAGAGGGAAACAACCCAGACCGCCAGCUAAGGUCCCAAAGUCAUGGUUAAGUGGGAAACGAUGUGGGAAGGCCCAGACAGCCAGGAUGUUGGCUUAGAAGCAGCCAUCAUUUAAAGAAAGCGUAAUAGCUCACUGGUCGAGUCGGCCUGCGCGGAAGAUGUAACGGGGCUAAACCAUGCACCGAAGCUGCGGCAGCGACACUGUGUGUUGUUGGGUAGGGGAGCGUUCUGUAAGCCUGUGAAGGUGUGCUGUGAGGCAUGCUGGAGGUAUCAGAAGUGCGAAUGCUGACAUAAGUAACGAUAAAGCGGGUGAAAAGCCCGCUCGCCGGAAGACCAAGGGUUCCUGUCCAACGUUAAUCGGGGCAGGGUGAGUCGACCCCUAAGGCGAGGCCGAAAGGCGUAGUCGAUGGGAAACAGGUUAAUAUUCCUGUACUUGGUGUUACUGCGAAGGGGGGACGGAGAAGGCUAUGUUGGCCGGGCGACGGUUGUCCCGGUUUAAGCGUGUAGGCUGGUUUUCCAGGCAAAUCCGGAAAAUCAAGGCUGAGGCGUGAUGACGAGGCACUACGGUGCUGAAGCAACAAAUGCCCUGCUUCCAGGAAAAGCCUCUAAGCAUCAGGUAACAUCAAAUCGUACCCCAAACCGACACAGGUGGUCAGGUAGAGAAUACCAAGGCGCUUGAGAGAACUCGGGUGAAGGAACUAGGCAAAAUGGUGCCGUAACUUCGGGAGAAGGCACGCUGAUAUGUAGGUGAAGUCCCUCGCGGAUGGAGCUGAAAUCAGUCGAAGAUACCAGCUGGCUGCAACUGUUUAUUAAAAACACAGCACUGUGCAAACACGAAAGUGGACGUAUACGGUGUGACGCCUGCCCGGUGCCGGAAGGUUAAUUGAUGGGGUCAGCGCAAGCGAAGCUCUUGAUCGAAGCCCCGGUAAACGGCGGCCGUAACUAUAACGGUCCUAAGGUAGCGAAAUUCCUUGUCGGGUAAGUUCCGACCUGCACGAAUGGCGUAAUGAUGGCCAGGCUGUCUCCACCCGAGACUCAGUGAAAUUGAACUCGCUGUGAAGAUGCAGUGUACCCGCGGCAAGACGGAAAGACCCCGUGAACCUUUACUAUAGCUUGACACUGAACAUUGAGCCUUGAUGUGUAGGAUAGGUGGGAGGCUUUGAAGUGUGGACGCCAGUCUGCAUGGAGCCGACCUUGAAAUACCACCCUUUAAUGUUUGAUGUUCUAACGUGGACCCGUGAUCCGGGUUGCGGACAGUGUCUGGUGGGUAGUUUGACUGGGGCGGUCUCCUCCUAAAGAGUAACGGAGGAGCACGAAGGUUGGCUAAUCCUGGUCGGACAUCAGGAGGUUAGUGCAAUGGCAUAAGCCAGCUUGACUGCGAGCGUGACGGCGCGAGCAGGUGCGAAAGCAGGUCAUAGUGAUCCGGUGGUUCUGAAUGGAAGGGCCAUCGCUCAACGGAUAAAAGGUACUCCGGGGAUAACAGGCUGAUACCGCCCAAGAGUUCAUAUCGACGGCGGUGUUUGGCACCUCGAUGUCGGCUCAUCACAUCCUGGGGCUGAAGUAGGUCCCAAGGGUAUGGCUGUUCGCCAUUUAAAGUGGUACGCGAGCUGGGUUUAGAACGUCGUGAGACAGUUCGGUCCCUAUCUGCCGUGGGCGCUGGAGAACUGAGGGGGGCUGCUCCUAGUACGAGAGGACCGGAGUGGACGCAUCACUGGUGUUCGGGUUGUCAUGCCAAUGGCACUGCCCGGUAGCUAAAUGCGGAAGAGAUAAGUGCUGAAAGCAUCUAAGCACGAAACUUGCCCCGAGAUGAGUUCUCCCUGACCCUUUAAGGGUCCUGAAGGAACGUUGAAGACGACGACGUUGAUAGGCCGGGUGUGUAAGCGCAGCGAUGCGUUGAGCUAACCGGUACUAAUGAACCGUGAGGCUUAACCUUACAACGCCGAAGGUGUUU
rnacentral:rRNA from 1 species